rnacentral:lncRNA from 1 species
UUGGUUGAGCGUGACAACUCCCUCAACAUUGGAGGUGCCCUUGAGGACCGCGACGGCCUUCUUGGAGGCGGAGGCAACAAUGGCAAUAGGCUUCGGGGAGGCGGAGGCGGAGAAGGACAAGUAUGGGCGGGCGGUGGUGGCUUUGAGUGAGAGGCCGUGGAAGGAAGAAGUAAAUGGGAGUGAUGACGAAAAGGUGGCGGUGGAAAUGGUGGGAUUGAAAGAGAUUGGGAGGAGAGAGUGGUGGGGUG